AGAGUCUCCUCCCAGCUCCUUCCUGGCCUGCUAGUGAGUUCGCCUUGUUACUUUCUUUCUGCAAAAACUAAAGCCAGGAAUCAUUUUCAGUGAAUCAAUUGAAUACAGCUAGUAGAAACAUAAAAAGGUGGCAAUUAAACAGUAAGAAAGCAUCUGGCAUAAAUUAAGUGAACAGAUCACCAAAUCAUUUGGAAAACAACACAUAUAUUUGGCACUGGUUUUGGCAUUUGGAGGGAACACGCUUAGGAGUAAGAGUCUGCAACCAAGAAGCUUACAUUCUAAGAGAGAAAAUAAGAAAAUAAAGCCGAGCACGCCAAGAACCAAGGAGCCCAGGGCAGGCUGCACGGCAUGCCCUGUGCCCCACCCACACUGCUUCCUCUUCUGAAUCUCUGCACCCCUAAGUCUGGUUCAGUUUUGAGCUUCAGGCGUGGUCUCAUCCCUUUGGCACUUCUUUUCUCCAACCAAAAGUUCUCAGCUUCAAAAAAAAAAAAAAGAUGAGCAUGUUCAAUGACAAGAAAGUCUGUUUGAUGGUAAUCUAUAAAUUUGCCACAUAAAGCAUAAACCAUACCACAAAAAGCUUAAAGGAAUACCCACUGAAUUCCAGCUGCUGAAGGUUGUCCUGCCCUUUCCUUGUGGUCUCCAAACACAAGCUUGUUUUAUGUCACAUUAUUUUCUCCCCUCUUUAUGGGCCAGAUUCAAUUUGUCACUACUUGGAUAUUGAACACUUUUUGCAAAUUAAAGAGAAAGUCACCUCAGGCAACUUUCAAAUAGAGGCUUAUUGGGGACUUGAUGAUACUGCAAAUCAUUAAAGAACUUAGGUUCUGUACCUCUGCCCUCACUGAUCAAAUAGAGGCCACUCCUUUGAAGCCAGCAAGGACCCAUGGGACUGACCUAAUGCUUUUUGCCUUCAGCUUCUGAAGCUUAUCACAUUACUAAUGUUUGAGUCUCUAAUCCAGCUGGCUAGUUUAAUCAUCUUGAAGUAAAACAAUACUAUUAA
rnacentral:lncRNA from 1 species